UACAGAGGUCUCAAGCGUUGUUCGGAUUCAUUGGGCGUAAAGGGUGCGUAGGCGGCGCGGUAAGUCGGGUGUGAAAUCUCGGGAGCUUAACUCCGAAACUGCAUUCGAUACUGCCGUGCUUGAGGACUGGAGAGGAGACUGGAAUUCAUGGUGUAGCAGUGAAAUGCGUAGAGAUCAUGAGGAAGACCAGUGGCGAAGGCGGGUCUCUGGACAGUUCCUGACACUGAGGCACGAAGGCCAGGGGAGCAAACGGG
rnacentral:rRNA from 1 species